rnacentral:rRNA from 1 species
GACGAACGCUGGCGGCGUGCUUAACACAUGCAAGUCGAACGGAAAGGCCCCCAUCUUGGUGGGGGUGCUCGAGUGGCGAACGGGUGAGUAACACGUGGGUGAUCUGCCCUGUACUUCGGGAUAAGCUUGGGAAACUGGGUCUAAUACCGGAUAGGACCAUGGUUUAGUGUCUCAUGGUGGAAAGAUUAUUGUUUUGGUGCAGGAUGCGCUCGCGGCCUAUCAGCUUGUUGGUGGGGUAAUGGCCUACCAAGGCGUCGACGGGUAGCCGGCCUGAGAGGGUGGACGGCGACAUUGGGACUGAGAUACGGCCCAGACUCCUACGGGAGGCAGCAGUGGGGAAUAUUGCACAAUGGGCGCAAGCCUGAUGCAGCGACGCCGCGUGGGGGAUGACGGCCUUCGGGUUGUAAACUCCUUUCGGUAGGGACGAAGCCACGCUUUUGGGGUGUGGUGACGGUACCUUUGUGAAGAAGCACCGGCUAACUACGUG